UUGUUUGUGGGUUUGUGUAAAUGCUCGUGGGAGGGGAUCUAAGGUUUCUCUCGAGCUUGGUGGUGGCGGCGUUCGUGGUUGUUUUUGGACCGAUGUUAGGUUUUGUGGUUAGACGGAAAUGGAGGCGUUCGGUGGCGAGGAGGGAGGAGAUCAAGAGGUUGUUGGUUUUGGCUUCGGAGAAGGCAGCUAGGGUUGAGCUACAAGCCGCUGAGGAAUAUGGGUAUGAUUAUGGGUAUAGUAUGAGUCGCUGAAG
rnacentral:lncRNA from 1 species